GGGAGCAAGUAGAGUGGCGCACGGGUGAGUAACACGUAGGUAAUCUACCUUCGGAUGGGGACUAACAAUCGGAAACGGUUGCUAAUACCGCAUAAUGCAGCGGCACCUAAUGGUGACAGUUGUUAAAGCGGGGGAUCGAAAGACCUCGCGUCUGAAGAGGAGCCUGCGGCGGAUUAGCUAGUUGGCAGGGUAACGGCCUACCAAGGCGACGAUCCGUAGCCGGCCUGAGAGGGCGGUCGGCCACACUGACACUGACAUACGGGUCAGACUCCUACGGGAGGCAGCAGUCGGGAAUUUUGGGCAAUGGGCGAAAGCCUGACCCAGCAACGCCGCGUGAAGGAUGAAAUCCCUCGGGAUGUAAACUUCGCAAGAACGGGAAGAAUAAGUCUGCGUUAACAUCGCAGGCGAUGACGGUACCGUUUGUAAGCUCCGGCUAACUCCGUGCCAGCAGCCGCGGUAAUACGGGGGGAGCAAGCGUUGUUCGGAUUUACUGGGCGUAAAGGGCGCGUAGGCGGCCACCGCAAGUCAAUUGUGAAAUCUCCGGGCUUAACUCGGAAAGGUCAACUGAUACUGCGGGGCUAGAGUGCAGAAGGGGCAACUGGAAUUCUCGGUGUAGCGGUGAAAUGCGUAGAUAUCGAGAGGAACACCUGCGGCGAAGGCGGGUUGCUGGGCUGACACUGACGCUGAGGCGCGAAAGCUAGGGGAGCGAACGGGAUUAGAUACCCCGGUAGUCCUAGCCUUAAACGAUGGAUGCUUGGUGUCUGGGGUUAUAUAGUCCCCGGGUGCCGUCGCUAACGCUUUAAGCAUCCCGCCUGGGGAGUACGGUCGCAAGACUGAAACUCAAAGGAAUUGACGGGGACCCGCACAAGCGGUGGAGCAUGUGGUUUAAUUCGACGCAAC
rnacentral:rRNA from 1 species